GUUUUUGUAGUUGAAUACAACAGUGGUUUUUCGUAUUACAGGUCUUGGUUUAAGUCCAAGUAAAAACG
rnacentral:tRNA from 1 species